GAGUACAUGGCUUUGGAGAAAAGAAACAUCUUCUGGAGAUAAAGGAAAGUUAUCACGGAUUAUCCAUACGUCUAAGAUACUCUAACACUGUAUCUAACGGUGUGUCCGUAUGUACAUGAAACAUCGCGGUGAUGAAAUAGAUUUGUUCUUGUUCUUGCUAAAAGUGACUACGAGCCACUCAUCAUCCCAUAUGCGUAUUCAUCUCUGGAUCGGCAAAAAAAACGACCUGACACACCGUUGCAUUGCAUAGCAACCUUCGUAAACCACCAGUUGCGACCCUUGGAGGUUGUAAAGGGCAAUAUUAGCAGCAGGAAGCGGUGUCAGAAAAUGCCAUGAAUUAAUGUACCAUUGUACUACGGUAGCUAUCCUCGCGUCUUUGGCCCUUGGAGCUCCGAAGAGCAAAAUAGGAUGAUGCUGCCUGCAAGAGAAAGAAGCAGCGACUCAUUUUCAAAAAAAGAAGAACCAAGCGUGUAGUUUGAGACUUGCGAGUGCCUCCGGAUCGGAAGCAGAUGGACAACACUGCAGUCCGAGCGUUUAAUUUGGAAAAAAUAUACACGACCACAGUUCUAUGUGAUCUUCCUGACCUAACAAUUUUAAAGAUCAGGUUUAAUAGGGAGGGGCUAAAAUACUAUUUGCUAUAGUACUAAUUACUUAUUAUGUUAAAUUGUAAAUGAGGAGGCUUAAGGGCCAUAAUACAUUACCACCUCCAAUCUACUGCAUCAUACAGAUUCUUGAUCCGCCGGCAAAGCUUACAUAACGAGCAACGAGCUGACCUCUUGGCACAGGCUCCGCCGCACCUACACGCAUCAAAUUCAUGCCAACAUUUCCCCCGCCGUCUGCCGAUUGAUGGAAUUUCUACGAUGCGGGUGAGUGGACUAAGGUCCUAUUUGGAUACACUUCUUCUAAUCACGUUUGGAUUAUAAUCUAGGUGAAAAUUUUCUCACUUCUCGCUUUUUGUUUCUCAUAGUUUAAAUCUUUGAAGCGGCUUACUACAUAAGCGAUAAUCGGUAGAAAUAAGCAAAACGGUUGGCGGGAUUCUCACUUAUUUCCACUGAUAAACUUAAGCGGAAACAAACAGGAAUCUGCUGGGGCUGAGCGGGCCCGGUGGGGCCACUCGGAAUGAAUAAAGCGCCAGUACGUCCAAGUGUCUAGUGUCCAACCAAACUAGACCCACACACGGUGUGCGUGAGGAGGCUGUAAAAGAGCAAAAGCGAAAGCGAAAGUAGGGGUAGGCGGGGCCCGUGGACGAAUGGACGGCCCACAAGAGCACUUAGGCCGCGAGGUCCGGCCCAGUAUGAGCAAGAGCAGAAUGACAGGUCACCUACCAACCCAUAUGAGCACUCAGCCGCGCAGUCCGGCCCAGUGGUCGCUGGCUGGCCAUCCAGGCCCCCAUUCAAACCAAGGCCUUUUAGUUUACAUUCUGAAACCUAUGGGGUUUUUCUUUUCUUUUGAAAGAGAAAACCAACGGCUAGAGUCAGCGGUGGCCAAUGCUCUACCACGGUGCCACGUAGUUGGUGCCACGUUUUCGAAUCCUGCAUUCCGAUUCCAGCCUGAACUAAGCGGUAGGCUGAACACAUUUACUGAAUCGAUAUACCACUUAUUUGGUGUCUCUCUGGUUUAGUUUGGUCAUUAGAUUGUAUUUGGUUGGGACUCUUUAGUUUAACUUGUUCCCUCUUUAAUGUAGAGGAGGAGAAUGAAGCAGAUAGGUGGUGGGAAAAGAUAGGGCGCCUGCAUGUCUAAGAGUUCAUGUGAUCGUUUACCGUAGAACUAGUCAGCAACCUGCGACGAAACUGAAGUUUGGAGUGUCUCAUUUUACUUUUGUUUUGCAGUUUGCUUGCUUGGGUUUCAGCCUGGGCUGAGUACCCUACUAUGUUGGUUUGGGAUAGAGGCUCGACGCCUGUGUAUGAUUUAACGGUGUUCUGGUUAGCAUAGUCAAGGGAACAUGGGCAUCACUCUGGUGUUCUUGUCAUGUUUCGGCAUAUUAGUUGUCUUGCUAGUGCAUGACUUAUCAUGGUUUUCAAGUUUGUACACUGUCUUGUCGCCCCUUAGCUGCAAACCAAAACCAAACACACCCCUGCAUCCAACCGAAGUAAGUCUGCAAUCAGUGAUUCUACCAUCAUCACCUGAUUCCAUUUCCCUUCACGUUACCUGAGCGUGAAUCAAACACUCUUAACAGUCAGCAACUAAAAUAUUUUAGUAUAAAGUGAAUCCCAAGAGAGCCAACUGGUUACGACAAUUGACAAGUGAUAACUAAACACGAACAGCUGACAAAAGCACACAGCCUACAGCUCCAGCUGCCAGUAGGGAAAGAAAAGUACCUUGGCAUUUUCUGCCAACGGAAACAAGCAAACUGAUAAAACGCUCUGCAUUUUUUCUUUUAUACAAGGACGCUCUGCAUUGUUAUUGCCCACAUGGAGAAAUUAUGAACAUCGACAAUCUACCCGUUCACCAAUGUUUCCCCCAUAUAGUAAUCCUCCGUGAUGCCAUAGAUCACGAACCCAAAGGUUAACAAGCAUCCUCCUUGUAAGUUCAAUGUACUGAUCACACUAUAAGAACUGCAAGUGGUAGAAACAUUCUGCACAAUUGACAUAUAAUACAUGCUGUAUCGAUACAAUAAACAGUGUGUACAUCUUUCAACAACAUGGUUGCCAAAAUUUCGCCGGUGGGGACAAUGGGGGCGGCUAUCAACAACUGCUAUGUUACACAACCCGAGACCAGAUGCAGGAAGUCAGGAACCCAGCUGCAUCUCUCAGUUCUCUCUUAAAUUACAUCCCUCUUAGUGGUAAAUAAAUUCUAUCGCCAUCUAUACAAGACCAUCUCUUUUAUUUGGUGGAAUGAACAAAUCCCCACUCCAUGCUAUAAUGUGUAUUUACCAACUACAUCCAACACCCCCCUUUCACCCUUUCCUCAAGUUUUACAGGUAGGCCUCAACUAUGACUCGUACAGAGCCGAGUCGCUUGUCUGACUUCAAAAUAUCGCCUUUUAGGUUCAGUUGCAUUUGCAAAAGAAUGGUAUAAUGUGAAUGCGGUAUAUAGACAUGAGAGGAUAUCAUGAUGUUUGUAGAAGAUCACGAUCUUGGAGGCAUUCUUGGGGAUUGGCAUAGAAGUAAUCCUCUUCCUUGGGUCUGUCGGGAAUCACCGUCCUCUUUGAAGCUGAACCCAUCCGCUUUGCAUGGGCAGCCUUGAUCAAUGAAGAGAACUCAUCCCAUUGCAGAGAACCAUUGGUGUACCGGUCCACUAGCUCAACAAUAAGUUUUCGGUCUAACAAGACUGUCUUCUUGAAACCCAUGAAUCUGAAAACAGCAAAUGGCAGAGCAUAUAUGAUUAUUACAUUUGAAAACUUCUACCAUUCACUUCUUCGGGACAUUAUUAAUGCACCGCUCAGAAGAAACAAUGAUGUUAAUUCUAUUAGCAUGCAGCCUGGUAUUAUGCUGAAAAUUGCACAUGCAGAAUAUAACUUAUAUCACAAAGUAGAAUAGUGCAAACCUCCGAUGACCCUCAACGACUUUAGCCAUAUUGCCAUCAUAUGUUGGAACAAAUAUAUCACUUUCUAAAGAUACCAAGUAAUCUAGUGCAGCCAUUUGUGAUGAAUGGUUCUGGAAGAACAUCAGAUCAGAAGGUUCCAAAAGUGUCUCCUUCCUCACCUACGCACAAUGGUUAAAUCAGAAUAUUAGCAAGGAGAAGAGGGCAGGUAGAAGAGUACUGUACAACACAAGCACGAUACAAUAGAUGCAUAACAUAUUCUAUCAUGUCCAUACCACAUUCGGGUAUGCUGAAGUUAGAGCAGCCAUCCUGCGCUUUCCACCAUAUAUUUCUCCAGCAGCAAUGUAUAUUUGCAUACUUCUAUCGAUGUCCAAUGCUCUGAGGACAAGAGCAGUCUCCUCAGGUGUCAACGGGCAAAGGCCAUCUUUUCUUUUUAAGUCUGAGUCAAUCACUUUCUCUUUCCACCAUGGAUAAGCAUACCUGAAGCCAAGAGUAGUUUGGAGCAUGUCCAGUCAACUGUUGUCUAAGAAAAACUACAAAUAAGAAAUAACAAGCAAAAUUCCACUGCAGGAUAAAGUUACAAUUCCAAGCAGAAAUUCACCUCAUUCUUGUAAGCUCUUCUGCCUCUUCAUUACUGCAACCUUGUGUACAGCCAGAGAAUGCCAGCAUAUCCAUUUCAUAACGUAAAUGAAGGACCAAGAAAGGGCCAUUUUGGCGAAGUAUUCUAAUUACUCGCUUGCCCAACUCUUCAAUUUGAGGGGUAAAUCUGAGAGAGGCAUAAUUUACUCGGCAUCGCAGUUUCUGGAUGUCAAUUGGUAAACCAUUGUUUGCUAGCCUGGCAUCAGUUCUAUUCAGAUGGAGAACCUUGUACUUGCGAAUCAAAGGAAGAAUCUGAUUCAAAAUUAAUCAAGCAUCAGUUUAUACAAUAAAUUCUGCAAAGCAGAGCAGUCAUGACAUAAAGUAAGAUGCAACUUACCUGAUUUUGAUAAUAGGAAAUAUCAGACCAACUAAUUGGUGGCAUGGAGUGAAACAUUCCAAGUUCAACCCUUCUCUUUACCCUCGGGGGCAAUUCUCUCAGAAUGCGGACUUCACCUCGUAAUGAGGUUAUAAAGUGCUCGACAUCAAAUAUGUCUUGGAACUCGCUGCAUGCAUGAUAGAAUAAAUUGCUGAAGUUAGCUUCAGCUAACAUAAACACAAGUACCAAUAAUAGUUUGAAAAAUAAAUUAAAGUCGCCAAACAGCACCUUGGAUCAUUCCAAAAUGAAGUCUUAUCUAACUCUGGAACAACUAAAGUUACAUUCAAAUAUCUUGCAAUUACGACCAUGUCACAUAUCUGAAAAAAAAAGUAAAGAAGGGCAGAAACCAGUGUUAAGGGCCAGACGUUGUAGGCAAACUGCUGAAUUAAUAGAAAUAAGGGUUUUCCAAUUGCUUACUGCAGCUCGCAUUUGGUUAAGCCCACCAUUGCACGAAACCAUCAAAUAACCAUUGUUCCUAUAUAUUCCUGGAAGGAAAUGACAACAAAACAUCAGGGACAGGAAAUACUAGAACAUUCACAAACUAUUAUACUAUUCAAAGACCAUAAAGUGCUGGUGCACAUUGAGUACUUGAGUAGCAACAGGAAAUUGUGAGCACACUUUUCCAGUCAUUCAUAAGGAAAGGCAUUCAGCUGUCAAUGGAAAUGCAGUGUGCAAUAAUGUGUUGACCAAUGCCUUUGUUGUAUAGGGAAAAUUAGCAUGACUCCUUCUGUGUCUGAGUUGGAACGUGUCCUAAGAGCUAAGUUACUUCCCAAUUGACCGAUCCACGGGUUCUUCACCAAAUGCAGUUACUAGAAAAAAGGCCCAAGAUGUAGCUACCCAAGAGUUUCUGAGAAUGUACUUUGCCAUCCAUGUGAAGAAACAAUUAUGAAAUUAUGGAUGAAGAAACCAUCAGUUUCAUGAAUGAUUGCUACCCAACCAAGCCUAUGGAAACGUGGCCCACCUAAAAAGUACGAUCCUAACAUGGAAACCCCAGACCGCAAAUAUCAUGAUCAGAAUACAAAGACCAGAAUGACAAAAACUGUUGACCUACCGACCGAAAGGGUAUCAUGCAUUUUCCGAUACUAUGCCAAUGCAACACGAAUGGCAUGCACGGCCCAAGCUAAACUUUGAUAUGAAUAUGGCGAUUCAGUAUCAUCGAAACCAUGUGAGUGCGUGACAGCAUUAUCAAAUGCUGCACAAAGCAUUGCAGGUGACAUUACCCACAACGAAAUCCACAUGAUGCAACCAAGAUUAUCCAGGGCUUGCCAAUUUGAGCACAAGAAAGCGACCGAAAUUGUCACCAACCAGCAGUCAUUUUCAUGCAAUGCCGAGGAAAUGUCCACAGGAGAUUUGGAGGGAUCUACCACAAUGCAGGCAGGCUGUCAAUGUCCAGCUGGGAGCCGCAUUGUCCAGCCGCAAGACAGCAGGUCGGAACAGGACGGACGAAAGCGAGGAGGCAACUAGAGAAGAAGAUGGGACCAAGCCAGGCGACUCACUCUUGGGCGGCAGCGCGGCCUUCUCGACGACGGGCUGCGGGCGCGCGGCGAAGGCGGCGCCGGGGAGCGCCGCGGCCUCCUCCUCGGGCGCGGUGAGGCAGGACGGCCAGCCCUUGAGCACCCGCGGGCCCCAGUUGUCGCCGACGGCGGUGAGCUGCACGACGCAGGUCCAGAGCAGCACCGUGGUGGUGGCGCGCACGACCCAGAGCUUCAUCCGCGAGCGCGCGGCGGCGGAGGAGGGAGGGAACCUGAGCUUCUCGCUGGCCGCCGCCGCCGCCUUACCCCCUGACGCCACCUUCCACCCCAUGGACCAUGGACCAAGCAAGAAGGGGCGAGAGCCACCGACGGCGUUGGGAACGAAGCUCCUCCUCCCGAAUCAAAUCCGCCGCGUCCUCGGCGCACCCGCCGCGCUACCCCCGCCCAAUGCGGCUGGGAACAGGGCCUCUCCUCCUCCUUCCUUGCCCCCAACCAGCACCGCCGCCCGAGGCUCCAGCCUACGCGAGCUUCGCAGGAAAAACGAGAGCCUCACCGGCGCCCGCAAACGCGGUCCUCGCCCGAAUCCGGCCGCCGCGAGCCUCUAGCUAAGGCACCGCGCCUCCUCACCACCACGGCCAGCGUCCUCCUCCUCCUCCUCCUGUGUAGCGGCUCCCUCGACCGGGCAGCCAAAAACCGGCCGCGCUUGCUCGGUCGGCCGCGGGCGCGGCGAGAUCGCGGGGGAGGCAGCGUCGGCCGCCGCAGGCGAGGGGGGGGCAGGCCGGCGGAGAGGACGCGGCGUGGAUCUCGGGGGGACGGGGGUAGCAGCGCUAGCGCAGCGGAGCGAGGAGGGGGUGAGGGGAAGGUGGGAGCGAUUUGUGGGGACGCCUAGUUAUUUUUGGGCGUCGGUGCCUCGCCUCGCUGGCUCGCUGCCUGCGCUUCGGCGCUGUGGUGGUGGUUGUUUGGCCAGUGGCGGGUGCGCGUAGCGGCGUUGAUGCUUCUCAGAGCGGCGUCUGUCGUAAUCUCCCGAGGGGGGGGGGGGGGGGGGGGGGUGCGCACGUGGAGGGCCAGGAUUUGACGCGGUGCGGAAAGCCGUGGGGGCGGACGGCAAGGAUCGGCCGGGGGAGAGGUGGUUGGCAUUUGGGCAAGUGGGGGGCGGAGCAUGGACGCGGCAUGGCAUCGGGGGUGGAUGGUUGGCUGGUUGCUGCCUUUGCUGUUGAGCGUGGGACGGCGCGCCACCCGUGACGACGGUGGCUGCGGCCCGGCCCGGCCGGGAAUGUCACCGCCGGCGCGGCGUUUUUAACCGGCGAGACGAGGCAGUCCCACUUGCACGUUGCUCCUGCGCAUUUCUUCGGCUGCGCUGGACGCUGGGGUUUACCCUGGUGCAGGGGGCAGGGACCGGAGUGGCGCUGUUUUUUUUUGAUAGGUCACAUGCCGGUGUUGGUAUCUCCAAUUCUUAAUUCUUUCAUUGAUGCUACGCUAGGGUUGAAUGACGCGCUGCAGGGAGGAGUAUCAAGGAACUUUUUACAGCUGACUGCAUGCAUAGGGUCUCGUCCGUACUCCGUUGGUGAUUUUUUUUGGGGGGUGGGGGGUCGGUGAAAUAUUGUUUUUGACACAUCCUUGCGUGUUGUGGCAAGCUCUGUCUCAAGGACAGGACAAUCCAGAGGAAAACAAAUAGAAGUUUCUUGGCAAAAUAUAUAUGAAACUAUUAUCCCUUAGGACAGCCUAGCCCUAAGUUUUCUACAUGCUGCGUUGAUAAAUGUUUCUAUUAUCGAGCGAUUUCUCAUUUUAGAUUCCCUAGUAGUCCUCACUCAUUGAAACCAAGCUCCAUUCUAGCUUUACGAGUAAAUUUUAUCGAGUAGCUUUGAUUCGUUAGUAUAUAUCUUUAUUUAUGCAUUAUAACACUUCUUAUUUUGACUUUUCUACGUUCAUAGAUAUUAUUAUAUAUCUAAACAACUAGAUAAUGUAUCUAUGAACUUUAAAAAGCCAAAACGACCUACAAUUCAGAACAGAGGAAGUAUAUUCUAAAACCAUCUGUGUAUAUUUCUGCACCCUACCCACAAAUUUGAUGGUCGGGUGUUGCAUUUUCCAAUGCUAUUGAUAAACUUUUGGGCUGGGUAAAAAGAUUGUGUGUUCUUGCAUCUUGUUAUAUUCGCUGAACUUAAAACACACAUGUGAAUUCGACUGGGUCGUUGAAAUUGGAUCGAGUUAAUAGCUUUCAUUGAGAAAAAAAAAGAGCUAACAUCACUUUAAAAAGGAGAGGGGCAUGACUUUUUUCACAACUCUACAGCACCAAAUAAAAGUACCAUUUCAUUUCUCACAUAGUAAAAAACAAUAGUGGAUGGAAAGAAAUAAAUACGUUCAUGUACACAAGGAAUUGGAGACAGUCCAUUGCACGCGUAGCUACCACCUACUGUUGACGUAAAAUCUAAACCUCAAGCUUCUGCGUGGAAUAACAUAGAGGAUCUGGGGGAUCUCUUAACUCCAGUACAGACUCCAAAUCGGCUCGUGAGUGAUGCAAGGUGUGCCAAUCAAUUUGACCUGCAAUUGACAAGGGAAACGUAAAAUUCACGAGCCGAUAGGCGACGCAGCCUUCGAGCUUAUAGAUAGUAAACAUCACAACAUGAUAGAUUAUUUAAUGUAAUUAUGCAGUGUAAAUAAAUAAAACAUUUAAUGGCAUGUGCCAUCGGCUAUAUGAGACUGCGAGCUAGGAUAAAAGCAUUGUAACACAACAGCCAUAAAAGGGAACCCUUGUUAAUGCGCACAUUAGAUAGAUUAACAUAUCUAGCCAAUGCCCUGAUAAGUGUAUUGAACUCAGAUAAGGUAACACGAAUGAGAGGACAUUGGCAUCAAUCUACUAACUUAAAAGAUUAGAACAUUGCAACAAGGACUAGCUGAUGCUGACUGUACGCAAGCCGGAUACAUUAACAGAUUUUAAUUAAUGUCUUGAUAAGUGUAUUGAACUUAGACAAGGCAACAUGAAUGAGAGAGCGUUAACCUUGAUCUGACAAUGUAAAAAACUAGAGCACAAUCACCAAAGACCUCUUGCCUACCGCUUACAAGCCUAUUAAGGUAACAAAGUCUAAUCAAUGUCAUGAUCUUAGACAAGGUAAUACGAUGAGAGGGCAUUAACUUCGACACGUUAAUCUUAACAGACAGACUCGCAGCAAUAGGGCCUCGCAUGCGCCCCUAUCGGCUCAAUAAUGUCAUCAUGCUUCCGUGAGAUACGGAUAAGACCUGACCGAAGCAUCGACUCUCAAUGGUAACAUGCUGACGUCAGAGGCUUAACAGUUAGCAAUACGAGGGGUAGGGGUAAAGAUCUAUCGUACCUAGCAUAUAUAAAGCAGUAAAAGCAUGCAGAGUCUGCUAGCCGAUACGAUCUGAUAACUCUGAACGUUUAAACAAGGCAAGGGAGCCGAUGAAGACAACCUGGUUAGAUCUAAGAUAACUCGAUAACUAGCCACACAACAAUAUCAAAUAUAAGACUUAACUUAAAAAGUUUUGAUAGAGAUCGUAAUGACCGAGUGACGAUACUUACAAGCUUGCCCGAGAUCGAAGCCGAUGCAGCCUUGCGCGCUAGAAAGAACUUGUCGAAUCUACUCUACUCCUGCUCUUAGGAUUUUAGCGGCACGUCGCUGAAAGGUUGUAUUGAUUGUUGAUAGAUAACCUUUUACAAACUCUACGGGUACAUAUUUAUACUCUUAAACUAAACCAAACUUAAGUAGCUAACUAUAGAAAUCUUAAGAUACAUGGACUCUAUUUUCCCUUAUGUAGAAUCCUUGCUCAUGAAGCUUCCUUGUCCGGCUCAUCCGCAAGACUGAUCCGCAUACAUGAUUAACCAGACUCCUUCGACGAGAUACAUGUAAAGUAAACCAAGAACCAUGUGGUAACCUUCCUUUGUUUAUUCCAAUUAUCUUCAGGCCUAUCUUCUCUGCAUGCACUUUCUUUAUUUAGCUUGCCUCUCCUUGUUUGGCUGAUCCCAUCAAAUUAAUCCUUAUAUUAACGAGUCCUCAACCAGACAUAGGUUUUUAUCAGCUAAAAUCCGAUGUCAGCUGUACACGAAAAUUUUGUUUUUAACAAUUCCGGUACCGACAUAUCGCCCUUCCUCUUAGCCUGGCCAAGAACGGCACGGCCGGCGCGCUCUGCCUGCCUUUUGCACGCUUCACAUGCACGCCCGCAUCGGCCGGUGGCGGUGCUUCACGGAGAAGGCAGUCCACACGCACCACAUUCCAAAAGAAUCAAAUAAGGGGGAGAGGAGAGAGGGAAGGGCAACGUGACAGAUCAUUGCGUGCCAAGAGUGCGUGUACCGAACAAAUAAGUGGCUAGGGUUGCCUCUGUUAACAAAUGUGGCCACUAGCUGCUGAUGAUGCUCAUGAUCUUGCUAAUCAUUUUCUGCCCGAGAAUAUUGCCGCGCAUGUUACCCCAUCGAGCAACGAAUGUUCUUGGGCCUGUUGUUGGUUGCUCUGUUUUAAACAUUCUAUUGGGAACCUUAUUUAAUUUCACUUGUAGUUUUGCUCUUCUAGAAGAAAGAAAUACCUGUACGUUCAGGCUCGCCGAAAUCUCUGCGAGGUAGACUGAGAUGCCGGGGAAUUGACUUUAUAAAAAGAAGAAGAAGAAGAAGAAGAAGAAACUUGGGAAGCGCAUGUGCGGUUUGCAAAUUGCAAGGUUGCUAUUAUCACCCACAACAAAAAGAGGUGACCGUUGGAAAAACUAACAUCUUUGGACUUUGAUGUCUUAUAACUUUACAAUAACCAUGGUUGAGGAAAAAUAGUAUAUAGUGAGUAUUUUUAACCAUUUGUUAAUUGAGAGGUAUAUGUAUGAACAUUUUAUAUACCUACGAAAUACUGUAAAAAAUAUUUGGAACGUACCAAACUUUAAACGUAUCCGAUGGAUCAAAGUAAAACAGAACCUCACUAAACUUGUCGUCAGAAAACGGUUUAUGACUUCAGACUUUGUAAAACAUAUGAAGGUGAGGUUAGAUAAAAGAUGGUUAAGGUUGCAUCUCAUGCAUUACACGCGGUGGUGGUGAAGCAGGAAAAGGAGAAGAAGAUCCGAGCAGACAAUUUGUUCGAUCUGAGCACGCAGGAGCAGAGACUGAUCGACGUUGAAGGCAAAAGCAGCUAGGCACACAACGUACGUGCUGUACUGGUAGUAAUCAUCGCCUUCUCCCGUUCUCUCUUCAUCUCUUGUGUAUAAUAGUCUGUUGAGGAGCGGAAAAUUCGUGUCCGUGGUCCGUGCGUACACUGGCAUUCCGUUUUCUCGCAUUUGACGAGAUGAUGGAUACCCGUACCUGCCUGGUCCCAUGUCCCAUCAGCAUGCCAAGACACCAGCCUGAUCUACUUUGUUGUUAUCGCGGCUAUGCAUAUAGCUCUACAACAAAAAUUGUUAACGUUGCAGGAAGAAGAAUGAUGGUCCACACGUACGAGCGAGCUAUACUGGUAUUGUUGGGUACUAUAAUAUAAUGCAAUUUCCUACGUGGCUAAAACUAAUUGAUCCUCCACAGCAGGCAUGAGAACGGAGGCACGCACGCACGCACGCUGUGCUCACCCACCAACCAUAACCACAUAUACUGUAGUGCAGUGUAGUGCGCCGCUCCAAGUGUCCAUACGCGCGGCGCACCCGUGGACGGUCAUGAUAGGAUGCUGCACUUUCUCCUCUUUGUGGUGUUGUGCUUGUGCAUCAUGAUGUGCAUGCAUGGUGGUGGGUGCAGACACUUACCGUCCACCCGAAUGCUUGCUUUAAUUGGUUGUAUUAGUAUCAAUUCUCCUCGCCAUUGGUAUAAAACACCGUCAGAGUUGCAGCAGCAGGCAGCAGCUAGCAUCAGUAGUCCUCACCGCAUUGAUGCCGUGCAAACGACCAUCCAUGCAUGAUGGGUAUGAACUUGAAACUGAUCUUUAUAUGUAAAAAAAAAAAUGAACUUGAAACAUCAGCGGCCGGCGCUUCGCACCAACAAUAAUCAGCGCCGCCGGCCACGGCGGGCCUCCCGGCCGGGCGACCUUCCAUCUGGGGGACUAUGGGGUAUGGGUGGGAGGUCGCAGAUCAGUGGCGUCGGCGGCGGUUGAGUUGUCAAGGAGCACGCGCUUUUCGGCAGCCGCACGUGGCUACGCGCUGGGUCGUCGUCAUUCCAAAUCAAUCUGACGAUCCUUUUUUUAAAAAAAAAUAAAGCAAUAUGAAUACUUGUGAUUUUUUUUAUUUUUAUAUUUUUUUUAUGAUUUUGCAGAAAUAAAUAGUCGAACCAAAAAUUUGCAAAAAUGGACCUAUGCCGCCGGACCAAACGGCGGUAGGUGCUUAACGCCGGUUGAAAUGGCGGUAAAGGUUCUUAGCGCCAGGUGAAAUGGUGCUAAGUCCCUUACCGCCCCCCAUCCGGCGGGCCGCCCACGGAUUCGAAUGGUGCCAGUUUCGAGGAAGUCUCGCCAUUUCAUGUGUACGAUCGUAUAGCGUAUGAUGUGUAGUAAUCCGCAGACUAGGCCGGGAGUUAAAUCAUUUUCAAUUAUUUCGUUCAAUAACUCUACCUCUCAAAUUACAAAUUUACAUAUUUUACUUUCAAAAAUGUCAUAAAAAAUUAAAGAACAAUAUUUAAAACAGAGGUACAGCCUCAAAUUACGAAGUUACAUAUUGCUACAUAAUUUACUUUCAUAAAUGUCAUAAAAAUGAAGGAAAAAUAAUUAAAAUGGAGUUAUAGCUGGUUCAAAGUAAAUGUCAUAAAAAAUGAAGGAAAAAUAAUUAAAACGAAGUUAUAACCGGUUGAAACGACUGAAGGUACUUAUAGCCAUUUCAAUCGGCUAUAGCAUCUCCAACCGGCUGCAGGGACUUACCCCCAGCCGAAAUGACGGUAAGACCCGUACCACCAUUUCAGCCGGCGAAACACGGCUGCACGUGCUAGACCCUUUAGCCGUUUCAACCAGCGAAAGGAAUCCUACCGCCGUUUGGUCCGGCGGCGUAGGUCCAUUUUUGCAAAUUUUUUGUUCGACUAUUUAUUUCUAUAAAAUCGAAAAAAAAAUAAAAAAAUAAAAAAAAUUCGAUUCCAGCAGGCCCAUGCACGACAGCCCAAUUGAUUUAUAGCCUCGUCCAGUGUGGUUUGCGAAAGAGUGACUGGGCUUAAGCAAUGCAGGCCUCGGCCCAAUGAAGAGGAAUGGGCCCUUCAAUCGUCAUCAUCACAACGGAACGAACACUAGGUACAUUUGGGGCUUUUUUUUUUCUGAGAGCAACAUUUGGGGCUUCUAGCUAACCCACCAGGGAGGGGCAGAGCUGGGCCGGCCCACCGCCUAAGGCCACUCCGUUGGUUAAAUAGGCUAACUUAGAUUGAGCCUCUUCGCUACAGUAUUCUACAUUGAGAGAGACUGACUUGCUGCCUGGCAAGCUGCAGCAAGGCCCUCCGUUCCUCCCCGCGCACAGACGUUUCCGUGAACCAGGUCUUGGUGCGCCCAGAUUGCCUGCCGCCCGCGGCCGGUUCACUGUUCACUCUCUCACAGUGGGACCAGGGCGAGCCGAGGCCAGGAGUCCAGGACGAAGAACUGAAGCGCAAAACGCCAAAACCCACUUUUCGCCGCGGCAUGGCGCCUGCGCUUCUCCCGGCCUCUCUCCUUCCGCCGGAACCCUCCUCCAGUCCUCCUUCCUCCCCUCUCUCUCCUGCUCGUCACGAGACAACGCGAGAGGAGAAUCGCCGACGCGGGGCAUGGCGGCGCCCUGCGUCCACCGUGGCUCCUCCACCCACGACCACGGUACCCUCUUCCAUGGAUGCUACCUCUCAUAGUCCUUAUUCCGUUCCCUCCCCUGGACUCCUGGAGUCCUGCUAUCUCUCUCCCUCUUCUGUGUUUGGCUGCAUUAUUUUUGAUGGUGAUCUCAACUGUUUUUAUACGCGAGCAUGUGAAGACGCGCUCCUCAUGGCCCGCCCUGGAAGGUGACCUCGGCCGAUUCAAAGGUAAGCCACCCACAUUCUCCUCUCUUCACCGCAUCCACGGACGAAAUUUCGUCCAUGCGUUACCUACCUUGUGAUGCUUAUUCUUCCAUGUUUUCGUAGCUGGGGCUCGUUAUAACCUUGAUUAUUCCACUAUUCAUUAUGUCGCGGAAGUUGAUGUGUGGAAUUUUAAUUAGCUUGAUUUCGAGCGGAUAGUGUUUUCCAACAAAUGUUACAUAAAUGUUUUUCCUCUUGUCGGUGUUUUAUACCCGGCAACCUACCGAAGGGUAUCCCGAGGUAAUAGAGUGGUUGGUGGGGGAUCGUCGGACCUGGAACUCGAAGGUAAAAGCGAGGCCACAAGAGAAAAAUUUAUACAUGUUUGGGUUGUCAGAGUAGUGUAAUACCCUACGUCCUGUUUGGGGUAUUGUAUAUUGCACCUUACGCUUGGAUGUUGUUUGGUAUUCAGGAUUUGGUCCUCUGUUGUGGUUCUAUGAGAUCUUUGCUUACCGAUCUAGGGAUCCUGCCCUCCUUUAUAUACUCCAGGAGACGGGAUUACUAGUCAGGUACAAGGUAGGAGUCCUAGUAGGAUUACAUGGUAUGAGUCCUAGUAGAAUUACAGGAGAAUUCUAAUAGGAGUCCGCCUUCUUCCUUCUUUACGGGUACUGGGGAUCUAUCCCCGAUAAGCCCCCGAGCGCUUCAUAGUCGAGUGUAGCAACCUUCGAAUACUUCUAAGAUCCUCGCCGAGUAGUUCUGGUGCUCCUCGAGUACUUUGUCUGGCUGAAUCUUCAAAGCAAAAUUCCUCAAAGCUGCCAUGAGGCUAUGGUGCGCUCAACCCCUGAUAGUCUUGAUUUUGUAAUCUUAAUCUUUGGAUUGUGAUAUGGAGAACGGCGAAAGUCGCACUCCAUAUGGAGUAGCCCCUGAGCCUUAGGUUGAAUCAAAGAAUCAGGCUGAGGGUCAAUAAAAUCUUGAAUCUUAUUUCUUUGUCUUGGAAAAAUCAACUGUUGGGUGUAGCUUAUUAGCCCUAGAAUCUUGGAAUAAUUCAAUAAUCAAUCCGAGGGUCUUUAGUCUUCACACAAGUCAUCAUUCGAGUAGUUUUGCGGCGUCCAGCCCCCAACCUUAUCCGCCAGGUGAGCCAUAGGAGCCACGUCGAGUAGUUAUUGGCGCUUAGCUCCCAAGCUUGAAAGCUAGCUGAGCCACUGGAGAUAUUCCGAGUAGUAAUUGGUGCUUAGCCCCCGAGCCUGGGAGCUAGCGGAGCCAUUGGAGGUACGCUGAGCGUCAUGUAGAGUCGUCGCUGAAGCUUGACCUGCAAAAAGAGAUGCAUACAUUAUGUAGCAUAUUGUAGAAUUUUGAAGAUACUACUGAAAUUUAUUCAGUGAUGAAUGUAAAAUGUUGUGUGUCAUGCUCUUGUUUCGGUCAUAUUUCUCCCGAUUAGUUAGCUUGUUACGUUUAGGCUCCCAGUCCUGUUUAGCCAUUGCCACUGCGUGUGAGAUCUUUGUCUCGUGUACGCGUACUGGCACUGCUGCUACGGAGAUCUUUGUCUCAUGUCCUAGUGUUUAGGCAUGAUAGAAGAUCUAAAGCUUUCACGAAUUGAGGUGUGUUCUGCUUGAGUAGAUUAACAACCACUAGGAGAAUAUAUUUAAAAUAAGUAGUCGGCGUUGCGACAAAAAGACUGUGCGAUUGUGCGUAAAGCAGUCAUUGAGACUUUUCUGCCUUUUUGGCGAGAAGAGUGCGUGUUGCCGCGCAUAGGAUUUGUGCCUCCUUAGGGUGUAGCCGCUGCGAGCCUCCAGCACUCAUUGCACCAAAUUUGUAGCCGUAGCCUCCGAAAUUCGAUUUACCAAGCCUGUUGGCGGAGCUUUCGGAACUCAGUGCACAAAACCCGUGGCUAUAACCUCCGUAAUUCGGUGUACCAAGCCCAUGACUGUCGGUUAACAUGCCCCAGGAAUAAUUGGCAAAGUGUAGCUCUGGAGGAUAAUUCCUGUUGAGAGACGUACACAAAUAAGUAGUCGGCGCGUUGCCCUACCGCCAGGCCGUGACUCACGUGGUACUCAAAGUGAGAUACACUCAUGUCUAGCUUGCAAAUAUGUUUAGCUACUUCACAUUGAGGCAUUCUGUUGAGGUGUGGUCAUGCCCUCAUGUGCCUGGAUGUGCCACGUCCAGGAAUACAAGGAAGAUGGUGAAGCUGUCCUGGAGGCGCAAGAACUGGAUCCUCAAACUGAGGAUAUUGAAAUAGAAAUUCGGUAACUAGCCUGCUACCUUUUGUUUUCUCUCUUUUGAGUUGAGCUGGCUUUGUCAAUCGAGCAAUUGGUUUUCUUUUCAGUAUUUCUACAUCUCGUUCUACCAUGCGUGAGCAGUUGACAAAAUUGUUUGUUCCAUUCAUUUGAUUAAUGCAGAAAGGCUAAUGAUGCGAUGACAAUCUCUCCCGAUGAUGAUGAUCUUUGAAAGCAAGUCUGGCUAACUUGAGCAAGUAGUUAUAGUGACAAGCACUCCACCCUAUUUCUGAAAGAUCUUGUUUCUUAAGGUAGAAGCGUAGGUAGGGAUGGCAAUUGGAAAUUCCCCAUCAGGAUCGACCCCCAUACCUGCCCCUGCUAGAGCUCACGGGGGAGAUUUUCUUCCCAUCCCCAUCCCCGCACGGGGAAUAAAUCCCUGUGAGGAUCUCCGUCCCCAUCCCUUAUCUGUUCAAGUUCAACUGAAGAUAGCUUGAGCUUUCUUGCACGAAUCAAUUGCAUUCCAUUCAAAUUCGUUUUUUUUCUCCAGCUUCGGAUUCGUUUCUUUUCUCCAACUGCGUUCGAGUGGCUUCGGAUUCGAGAAGGAAAUGUAGAACUUUCUCAAUUGAAUCAAAGAAAUAAAAUCGUUAAGCAUCGUGGAGAUACAAAGGGAAGAGGACAAAAGAGCUUGGCAUCCGCAGCAUUGAAAAAGCAAAAGCAACAUCAAAAGAGGAGUAAAAUGCAUUGGGCUGGAAUUACCGGACCAUCUGCGGGCGGACGUGGCCUUGCUCCCGUCUUCUGGGGAAACAACAUCUUCGCCGUUUUAAUGUUGCUUUGUACGAACACAGGGCACGCCCUGAAAAUCAUCAGUACAAGUACCAUGGCAGUGGCAGACCAAAGCCGAACGAGCCACCCUCUACGAUUGUUCUUCUGCUGCCGCAGAUUUUCUUUCCUAUCUAUCUUCCGUUCCUGCACUGCAAGAGACAUCCACACUGGCAGGAUUCACGGGGCAACAUGUACGCCGCCACAGCGACGACGCGACGCGUCGCCGUCGCGCGUGCUGGCCGGGCCUGCUGACGAUGGGACGGCCGGUGCACGACGCGAUGCGCGCGGGCGGCGGCGGCGGCGGCGGCGGCAACCCAAUCUCGCCGCGCCCCGUCGCGGCGUCGGUUUCGGCCGGGGUCGGGACAAGCCACGACGACGACGUGCGCUGGGGCAGACGACAGGCAGGGCCGGGACGUACGUCGCGGGCGCGCGCGUGGCGGCACCGGAUCGACCAAGCUAGCUUUGCUUUAGGUGUAUCCGUUGCUGAAAAAGAUUGUCCAUACCUCACCGAAACCUAGGUGCAACCCGAUCACUGGUAGCUGUUUUAACAAUGUAACUACAAUAUUAGCGACUAAAUUCCAGAAAUGCCCCUUAUGCCACAGGCGCGAGUUGUCAAGCAACCUUUUUUGCUCGAGUGGGUUGCCAUUUUUGUUUGCCCCUGCCGUGGGCAACCCUGUAAAUAUCUUCGCGUCAGCAGAGGAGGUGUGCGCGCCACGAGGGUAUUUACGGCCACGGCUCGUUCGGUGAUGGAAUGGAGGACGCAAAGCAGGGGUAGAGCAGAGCAGGCAGCACCUACUACUACUAGGCCGUCCGUCCCCACAUGCAGGAGCUCCAGCCCAUCCCCGGCCUGGCGGGGCGGCUGUUCGGCAGCGGCGGCGCCGCCGCGGCCGCCAUCGGCCUCCUCCGCCGCCACGGCGGCUCCUCGGCGGCCGAGGUGCGGUGCCCGCGGUGCGACUCGCCCGACACCAAGUUCUGCUACUACAACAACUACAACCUCGCGCAGCCGCGCCACUUCUGCAGGGCCUGCCGCCGCUACUGGACCAAGGGCGGCCACCUCCGCAACGUCCCCGUCGGCGGCGGCUGCCGCAAGCCCAGGCCCAGGCGCCCCGCUGCCGCCGCCGCCGACGGCCGCGGCAAGGACGGCGUGCACCGGGACGGAAAGGCCCCGCGCUCAGGCUUCGCCGGCGCCGCCUCCAGCUCCAGUCCCACCGCAGCCGGCGACGCCGACGCGCCCGUGUCGGGCGCGUUCUCUGUCGUGACCGAACCGAGCGUCCCCAGGAGUGGCGGCGUCGCGGAGGCUAGCGCCGAGACCGGCAGCUUCGCGGCCGGCGACACGCGGGCGCUGCUCGUGCCCCCGCCGGCGCCGAUGUUCGCCGACCAGGCGUCCGUGUUCGCGUCGCUCUUCGCGCCGCCGCGGCCUCUCUCGGCCUUCGGUUCCUCGGCGCAGCCGCAGCCCGAGCAGGCAGAGGAGCGCGUCGCCGCCAGUCUACUUGCUGCAGAGCAGCCGCCGCCAUCGUGCACUGCGGCCUUCACGGACACGGCGCCGUUCGCCGCAGGAUCGGACGGUGCGCUUUCGGCGGGACCAUCCGACUGGCCGACGGCAGGGAUAUUCGAGCUAGCGGGCGGCAACGCCGGCGACGCGUCGUUGCCGGAGCACUGGAACCAUGGAAGCUGGACGGAUCCGGACCCGGCCGUCUACUUGCCGUAGCGUGUCACUGAUCACACAACUGGUUCAUUUUGUACUUAAACUCGUGGUCCAACAAAUGUUAAGGGCUUCUUUUGAUGACACCGUUCGUUUCCAAUUUAUGUAGAUUGGAGUGAAAAUGAACUAAUAUUUUCUCUGUUAAUACUCUCAAUAUAUGUGGAUUGGAGACUAUACAUCUGUCCAAACAAAGGCCUUAAAGAUACAUGUGUGCAACAAAGGUUAAAAAAAAAUGAUCUCUUAGUAUUUUGUGUUUCCUGAUUAGCAAAUUGUUGCUGCAUAAUCAGAGUGGAUAUCAUGAUCAUCAGAGCAGUUAGCAAAUUGGUCCUAGCUUGCGUGCAUUGCUUCUACUAUACACGAGUACAAGCAGAGGCAGUUGGCCUGGUUUGGCAGCCUGGCAGAUGACAUGAGGAUGUGACGUGUUAACUCUUGGACGGGGACACGGGGCGGCGGGCGGUUGCUGCUUCGGCACGCGGAUGCCUUGACAUGCUCCUCUGCUCGGCCGCAUUUGGUAGCCGUCACUGUUUGGUACCAUCACCUCCAUGCUGUUGCCAAGAUUUUGAUCUGUUCUGGACUGUUUUCAGGGUCUUCGUCUAGCAAGGAAAAUUCGGAUGACCAUGCCAUCCUUUGUGUAGCAGCUUGCAGCAGCGUAGCAUCCUUUGGGCAGUUAUGAUUUAUAGGCACUGUUCGGAUUGUGCAAAUUUUCUUCCGGGUUGCUACGAGAAAACAGCCGGUGCGCUAAUCUCGUCACUGACUUAGAGGGUGUUUGGUCUUUAGCAACUUCUAAGAUUCCUAUUACAUCGAAUUCGAAUGUUUGGAUACUAAUUAGGAGUAUUAAACAUAGACUAAUUAUAAAACCAAUUGCACAGAUGGAGACUAAUUUGCAAGACGAAUCUAUUAAGUCUAAUUAGUCCAUGAUUUGACAAUAUGAUGCUACAGUAAACAUGUGCUGAUGAUGGAUUAAUUAGGCUUAAUAGAUUCGUCUCGUGAAUUAGCCUCCUAUAUAAUUAGUUUUAUAAUUAGAUCAUAUUUAGUCCUUCUAAUUAACGUCCGAAUAUUCGAUUGUGACAUAAAUUUUAGUCCGGACUAAAGAACCGAAUACCCGUAAUCACUUCGCAAGAAUCAAUGUGACUUGGAUGCAAGGGCACUGUCCUGUCGUUCGUCAGGUGCAAACGUGAGCCGUUUGGUUACUUUUACUUAUUUUUAGCACAUGUCACAUUGAAUGUUUAGAUACUAAUUAGGAGUAUUAAACGUAGACUAUUUACAAAACCAUUACAUAAAUGGAGGCUAAACGGCAAGACGAAUCUAUUAAGCCUAAUUAAUCUAUCAUUAGUAAAUAUUUACUGUAGCAACACAUUGUCAAAUCAUGGACUAAUUAGGCUGAAUAGAUUCGUCUCGUCGUUUAGUCUUUACUUAUGUAAUGAAUUUUGUAAAUAGUCCACGUUUAAUACUUUUAAUUAGUAUUUAAAUGUUUGAUGUGACGGGUGCUAGAAACUAGAAAUAAGCAAGAAAAUCAAAUCACCUGACGAGCUUAUCCAAGGAGGCAAGGACGAUGGGCACUACCGACGUAACGCCGCCGGCCGGUUUCUUUGAACCCACGGAACCUUGAGAGAUGGGACAGAUCGAUACAGCAGAAGCCAACCGGCCGGCCGGCAAGUCGUCGCGUGGAGACCUGUCGCUCCAGCCCGUGACGCGGACGCGCCCAACAGAAACCGGUAGGAGGAGGAUUACGGCGGCGGCGAUGCAAGUCGCCACCUGCGUCGUGAUCAGCUCUGGCGGCCAGGCUAGGGUGCUCUGGGGCGGCGAGCCGGCCGGCGACUCGUUCGUUCCGAAGAAGGCACGCGCGUCUGGAUCGAUGGAGACCGAUCGAUCGCGAGGAACAGAACGCGCGAUGAUUGCCUUCGUUCUCGGGUGGCGCGUCACGUCGGAGGUAUAGCACGAGUCUCGGUGUCCUUACCAGUUGCCACUGGUACGAGGCCCUCCCAACGGCCAGCUCAUAGAGUUUUUUAUUUGAUGAACAGUAACAAUAGCUCGCACAAGUCCCGAAACCCAUCUCUCUCUCCUGCUGUUUGAGCUAGCAGCUCGUUGGAGAGGGGGCCUGGGCCUUGUUUAGUUGGGGAAUUUGGGAGGUGCCAAAUUACUGUUACAGCACUGUAGCACACUGUAGCGUUUCGUUUGUAUUUGUGAAUUAUUAUCCAAAUAUUGACUAAUUAGGCUCAAAAGAUUCGUCUCGCAAAGUACAACAAAACUGUGCAAUUAGUUUUUAAUUUCAUCUACAUUUAGUACUUCAUGCAUGUACCGCAAGUUUGAUGUGAUGGGGAAUCUUCUUUUUGCAUAGUGUCAAAGUUGGGAGUUGGGAGUAACUAAACAUGGCCCUGAUGACGCUCUACUGUUGCGCAAGGAAUUUUGUGGCACCCGUGUCGGUGUCAUGCUUGCAGUUGGAGGCGUGCUACUCACGUACAGCGCCGGCCGGUACAAGGCGACAGCGAGAGGCAGAGGCGUCACCUGGUCGUACCUCCCUGGUCCCUGCAACCUUCCAGCCGUCGUUGCUACUCGUGCUCGCUCAAAUAUCCAUGACUUUUGGACUUUUUUUUCUCUCUUUAUAGUUUGGAGAUGAUCAGAUGAAUACAAUGGUGGUGUUUGUGUCAUUGUGCGUGUACACAUAUCGAAACUCACAAAGGGCAGUUGCGGUAUUUAGUUCACAUAUAUACUGCUCAAUUAGGAAUUUCUUAACACUUGCCCACUUUGGCAUGUACCGCAACGUGCACAUGUCUAGUAACAAGCUCCUUUCAAAAAUCGAUGGGAAAAAAAGAAGGGAGAAUGGAGAUAAGAGGAUAUUGUUACUGCGUAAGAUGUAGAAUUAUAAUGAAUUCAUGAAGAAGCUAUUAUUAGGUAAACACGUGUUUGAAAACACAAUAACCAUUGUCCUUGCCCUUUCCUCGAAAGAAAAAAAAACCAUUGUCCUCGCCAUAUUUGCGUGCCUUCACUUUGAUCCAGAUUGGUUUGGGGAAAAGACCUAGGAAUUCCAAAGACCUAAAGCACCACAACCACGGUAAUUUUCAAGCCCAGUUCAGCCCGGCCUUGUUCAACUUUCCUACAAGCCCAAUCCAUUUUUCCUUAGGGGGAACAAGCCACCGGCCUUGCAUCUCAAUUCUCACAGUAUGGGCUGGUAUUAUUGGGCCUAUCUUGAAUCAUGAGCAAAAUCAAAAUUAUGCCCUACAAGACAAAUUAUGCCCAUGAUUCACCUCUUCGUUGGAAAAUUGAUUUGGUCUCUUUUUUUCCCCUCCCUAUUACAAAUCCUUGCUACUAUGGAAUUAAAAUAAAUAUCUUUUUUUGGACCUUGGUGUGAAGAUGGUAUUUCAGUUCAUUUUCUCAGUGUUAAUCACCCUUCCCUGAUGUGAGUUGGACCAGCUUACAGACUCAAAAUCUUUGUUCAUCAAAUGAAUAAACCAAUGUCACAUUAUUGAGAUUUGUAAAAUACGCAUCUGCUGGUACAAUCUUCAUAUAACAAUCACGCGUAUAAAAUUUGAACGUACGUGCCUGCGUUGACAAAAAAAAAACACAGCAUAUGAACGCACUCAAACAGGGUACAGUGCUAAUGAGUUAGGCGAUGGAGCACACUUUAAUUACUCUUAAAUCACCUUGAGCAGACACUGACAGCACGUAUGACGCCACGGCUUAUGACGGUAGUUACUGCGUUGCGUCAGACGAGCUUGGACUCGGAGAAAUAAAGUAGCGGGGUCCAACGCCACACGUCUGCUUGUACGAGCACGACGUGAACACAGGGGACGAUGCCGGCCGGCCGCGCGCGGCCGAUGCUGGCUGCAAGCGUGCGAAGCGUCUCCCUCGCCCGGCCGGCGCGGCCGUCCCUCCAAACUGUGGCCUUCCCCGGCCGGCCUCGGCCUCGCUUUGCUCCGCUGCAGUUCCGUACUUGUCCGGCCGGCCGGCCACCGACCAGCCGGCGGCCGGCAACAUCGGUGGCCACCGGGAGCGUUUCCGAAACUGGAUCGGAGUAGCGUGCAAGCCGUUGUGAGUUGACGAACGAGACAAGGAAGGACGUACGGGGUCGGGGUUGGUGGUUAUCGUCCGUGCUGUACUUCGAUGAGUGAAUUGGCAAUUCAGCAUGGCUUGUGGUAUUCAAGAGCUUGCGGUACCCGCAAUUAGGUGGCAGGGGAACAUGAGCGCCUCCAUUUUUAUUUAGGGGUAACACUUAGAGAUGUCAUUUGUACGGAACAAAGAAAGCUCAAGGUUUUCAAGAUGCUCAGGUUUGGCAUACUCUAGGCUUGGUGGUUCAGAUCAUCAGAUGGAACCCCGAGUUCGAGCUUGAAUUAGAAAAAUACCUGAUUUAUAAAAUUAAAAAAAAAUCAUAUAUUUAAAAUUGGAGGGCGCACAAAACUACCUCUAGUAAUCUUCAUGCGGCAAUAUUUUACAUACCCCUUGGCUCAAUUUUAUGUAUGUAUAAGUAUACUGUUUCAAUUUUUCUAUGCAUAAAAUGAUAUAACAUUCAACUAUAGACUCCAAGUUUAUGCGAGGAAGGAUCAAGUCUAGACCUUAUUUGACGAACUCAAAUAAGCCAAUAGAUAGAUAGCAUCUCUUAAUUUCCACUUAUUUACCGUUUUGCUUACAAAGAGAUACAUUACCUCAAGGGUAAAGGCACCUAUUUAAAUUUUUAUAGUUGCGGUUCCUUGAAGGAUUUGGACACUUGAGAAAAUGGGAAAAAAAUGGAUAUAUUCAUCAUAUAAUAAAGCGAUCCUAAGGAAAGAGAAUAUUAUCUAAAAACACCAGUAUAAAAUCUAGCGAGAUAAGAUAUGGUAUUAAGGUAAUUUUAUAUGGGAAACACUCAAGAUCCCACUUGCAUUACCCAGUUAACCCACUCAUAAUCAGUGGCCCAGCACUGCCCUCUUUACUCUCUCUUUACCAAAAGCCAGCACCUCCAUUUGUUCCGGCAACCCUCCUCUUCAAGCUUCGUAGAAAAGCAACCGGCCGGCCCGGUCGGAACCCGAGCCCAACGUCUCGCAAAGCCUUAAACCCCCGACCCGAGCCAGUCUCUCUCGUCUCACUCUCACCCGGCCGCCACUCUCUUCCAAUUCCAUCCAGCCGUUUCCACCCCACCCCAAUUCCAUUCCAUUUCGUUUCAUUUCCACCCCCUCCGUUCUCCUCCCCCCGAUUCCGAUUUCGAUUCGAUUUGAAACAGGGGCAAGAAAUGCACGACCGAUCCCACAAUCCGCAGCCGGCGGAGGCCGGCGCCGGCAACGGCAGGGCGGCCGGCGAGGGGGGCGGUGGCGGGAACGUGGAUCGGGUGCUCUUCAAGAACCUCGUCGAGAUGGUGCCCCUCGUCGAGUCGCUAAUGGUGAGUGGUGGCGGCGCAGAUCUCGCCGGGCUCGGGGCGUGUCGCGCGCGCGGCUCUUUGGUUGGGCUCCUGCGCCGUUUGACCGAUGUUCUGUGUUGGUUGUUCUUGGCCGCAGGACCGGAGGGUGAACCCGUCCUACUCGCGCCGCGCCUCGCUCGUCUACACGCCGGCGCCGGCCAAGAAGGUCCCCCCCCCCCCCCCCCCCCCCCCCCCCCCCCAACCAACUAAUUCAGCCCUAUGCUUCUUUCUUGGAUACUGUGGAUUGAUCAAUUCUGUUCCGGUCCCGGUUGCGUAUGUUUGAAUCUAUACGGUUUUCUUAAAUUGCGGUUUUCCUUGCACUGUCGCUCUCCGUAUUUAGUUACGAUUUGGAAGAAGAAAUUAAUGCGUCCAAAGGCUCGUUUCCCCCCUUUCAGAUUAGAGACGUUCUCACAGUGACAGUUUCCGUAGAUCUUGAAGCUUCGCAGCUUUCGUGUAUCUUGUAGCCUCGUUGGUGAUGAUUGAUACGGCUGAAUCUUCAGUACAUGCGAUUCUCCUGUGAAACUAUCAUGAUUGCUCCUUGGCUUUGAUAGUGAUGUACUGUAUCUCAGAACUUGAGGAUGGAUGGAUUGUUUUUACAGGCGAGCGAUUUGAAGAGCGUGAAGUCGCCACAGAGUGUGUCCGCGAAAAAACGGAGAGACCCUGGUGAUGCAGCCAAGAAAAGCACCCCGGACUCCAAUGGUGAGAAUGGCUCGGUUUCGCCAUUGUCUCUGUCGGGUGCAGAAAAUAAACCCAAGGAUGAGAUUGCUGUCCUGCGCGAGCAGAUUGAUGACCUGCAGAAGAAAUUGCUUGAGAAGGAGGAGGCCCUGAGGUAUGCGGAGAACUCAGUGAAUGAGAUGAAUGUGGCAUACGCGACCAUUGAUGAGCUAAGGCGCCAAGUGGCUGAGAAAGAAGCUCUGAUCAGAUCUACCAAUUCUCAGUUGCAUGAUGCAAAGGUAAAGUGCUGCCAACUGCUCCUAGCCUCCUACAUAGUGAUUUACUAGUAUUCUGAGUCCAUAUUGUAAGUUAAUAGCACUGCUCCUAGCCUCCUACCUAAGUAAACAUGUAACAUUGUUAUCAAACUGUAUAAUCGGCCUAACUUGUAAGUUUAGCCCGGAUAAUCGAUAAAGUACUUUUACUUGUUUCCGAGGGCUAUAACAACCCUUAGAGCAGUGGUAACAACAUCUGUGACAAAGGCUCGUGCACAAAAUCCACCUCCACGUAUGUCUUGCAUUGCAUUCAGCCAUUCACACUUAAUAUAAUUCUGGCUGUGCUUUACUAGUGCAGUUCAUGGUUCUAUAUCUUCGAAACCUGGGUUAUUGUUUGAUGUUAUUAUGUGCAGUUUGUGAAAAGUUUCUUAUCCUCAUUUUGAGGAUAUUGCAGAUUAGCUAUGCCUGCUGUUCCGCACAGGUUGCAUAAUACUCGUGCUUCCAGCUAAACAUUUGAUUAAGGCAUUGAGUACAAUACAGUUUUUUUUAUAAAUCAACUUGUGGGUAUUACAUAUUCUAUCUUAGCUGAUCACACAUAGUGAUUUCUAUUCAUACAUGUUAUGCCAAAAGAAUAUAUUUUUUUGUUGGUAAAGAUGCUCAAAUAAAAUGUUUUUUAUUUAAGUGAUGGCAACAGCCUCUUUUGACCUCUUCUUUGCCGUCCCACAGAUUAUGCUUGCGGACAAACAAGCGUCUUUAGAGAAACUGGAGUGGGAGGUGAAGACGUCAAAUAAAAAGGUUGAAGAUCUUCAAGGAGAUAUGUCCAAUAUGGAAUUCGAGAUAAGUUCAUUGAUGGCGUUAUUUGAAAAAGUUUCGGAAAAUGUUUCGGAAAAUGUUUCGGGUGACUGUUAUGAUGGUAGUAUACCAUCAUCAUAUGAACUAGAGGCACUUCAAUCGACGGUAAGCAUAUGCAUCCUUGACGCACCGUUGACCUGCUUAAACCAUUAAAGUUAGUGAUGGAAUGUUAGUGUUAUUUCAAUUGCUCCUUGUUCUCCUUAUAUGACAAGGCAGUCCUCCUGCUGUUUUUUCAAAAAAAUUCUCUUUGCUGGUUACUGAAAAUACAAUUGCAUUUUCUAAAAUGUGUGCUGCUUUUACAAACACACUGGGAAUUGUAUAAUAUUGCUACUCCUUAACACAUAUUGAUGUGAGGUUCUUUGAAAUUUGGGGGGAAAUGUUGAUUAGAAGCGCUGGAGAAUUUUUAUGGAAUUUUGUGGCUUUGAAAUCUAAUCAUGGGAGUGAAGUCUUACGCUUUUCUAUAAUUGGAGUGGCAUUUUCAUCUUGCAAUGGAUGCUGCUUUGCUAUUAUGAAAAUAUUAACACUAAGAAAACUGAGUUGAUGGUCUACACUUGUGUGAAGAUAACAAUUAAGUAUUUUUCUCAGAGCGAAAUUGACAAGAUUGAGGUCGAGAAGAUAGAGCAGGAAAGGAUUACAUAUGCUGAAGCUCUCGCGGCUGCGAGAGAGAACCCUAAUGAGGAGCGCCUGAAUUUAGCUGCCGAGGCACGGUCAAGGCUGCAGGUCCUUGUACUAUAAUGCUCCUUCUGAUUGUAAGUGUAUGUAUGAUAAUGUUGAACUGCUGAUGUAAUUGUAAGUGUUGGCUUGAGUUGAGGUGCUUGUGGAAUCGCUCUGGUGGUGAUGGAUUAAGCACCACCGGAGGUGAUGGAUUAAGCACUGGAAAGUGACUGUUGUUCUAUUUUGUAAUCAUAUUUAUUCAGUUUUGAGUCCUGCAUUGUUCAUUAUGAAAUUUCAGCUGUAGUUUAGAAUACCUGUUAUAGUUACUACCAUUUAAAGAUACAUGCAAAUGGUUGAAGCUGCUUAUGCAGAUUGUUCCUUAGCUUAAGAGAACUUGAGAAUUGAUUACUCCCGUGAAAAGCUAUGCAGUAGCUUAUUAGCAAGCACAAUGCCGUCCCAUAAACUGUACCUAUGAAAAGCUAUGCAGAAAGCCACAUCUGACCUGCGCCCCAUGGCCACAGCUGCACCGUGUGAGAGUUGGGAACAGAAAAGCCCUGGUACACCACUGGGCCUAGUUGAAAGAGCACACCAUCCGAAGGAACAAGCCUGCAGGCCCACCAAUUUACUAGACCGAACAGAGGCCCAUCGGACACACCAGCCAUAUUAAACGGACAGACCCCACAAGCCAGUGGAUCCCUAGCCGUUUGAAACAGCGCGCAACAGCCGGGCAGCCAUCAUCGGCCAUGCUUUUCAUCUCCACCUCAAGUUUCCGCGUGAAUUCCUCACGUCCUCUCAACCUUACCAACAUGACCCUAUAACAAUUCUUCCCCAUCUUCCUUUACAACCCACCCCACAAAGCAAGAAACAAAUCUUGCACCACUCCCUCCGACAACUAAUCCAAAUUUUCCUCCCAGUCAACUGGUAUUGCCACCACCCUAUCUAGCCAAUAAAAAUGUCACGUGUCUCGGUUGCAAUCCUCUUCUACAUCCUCGCCGUCGCUGCCCUCAGCGCGGCCGAGGUCCCAACAGAAUCGCCAAAGGCAUCUAAGGCCACCACUCCUGCCAAGGCACCUGAAGCUGCUAAGAAAUCUGCCCCUGCUAAGGCCCCUGAAGCUGCUGCCACCGCUCCAACAUCUAGGAAGUCUGGCCCAGCUGCCGCGCCAGCCACCACCUCCACACCGUCUUCUUCGAAGGAUGACACGUCAAGCCCUCCCUUGCCGUCAACCUCCGCAGCAUCCCCUGCUGCUGAGGGGCCUGCCGAGGGACCAGCUGAUGCUGAUCAAUCCGGAGUUGCCACCCUCAGCAGUGGCGCUACCAUGGCCGGCGUUGCCGCUGCUGUUGCUACCAUGAUCUUCUACUAAACUCGCGGUGUGUGUGUGGUGGGGUGGGGUGGGGGGAGAGGGAUGUCGUGGUGAGCCAGAAGGAAAGAUCGGCUGUGCCAAAAUUGCUCAUCUGGUCCGGAGGGACCGAGUGUUUCUUUGCUUUGCACACUUCGUUUGCUCUUGCAACAUUAUGGGGUCAACCAUUUAUAUAAGUGAAUGGAGUUGAUUAUUUGGUACAGCUUGUUUGUCAUGGAUUGUGAUAGCUUGUUCUCUUAUUGGUUUACAUAUUAGUUAACUCAGCUUGGAACCGUAACAAUGUUAAUUAAAAGAAUCUUAAAAACACAUAUCUUGGAGAAUAAUCUUUGCAUGGCAGGGCAAAUUAAAAGUGGGGCCCCACAUUUAUGU
rnacentral:lncRNA from 1 species